UCCACCUGCCUGUCCCGGAGACUCAGACAUCUUACGAGUCAGGGCAGAGCCAGGCCAGAUGCUGACUCUGGUGCUCCUGGACCUUAGGUGACCUUCAGCGAGUCCUCAGGUGUCUGAUGCACAGAGGCUGCGGCGGGCUGGGGGAUCUCUCCUUUCUCUCUCGCUCAUGCUGCUUCUGCUGGAAAUGCCUUUCAGGACUCCUGGUGGCCAGCAACAGAGAGUGACCUGUCCCUUCCAGCUAAGGGGAGGGCUUCUGGAGCCAGAGUGAUAGUAUGGCAGGAAGAGCAUUUGCCAUGCUUGCAGCGACCUGGGUUUCAUUCCUUGCAUCUCAUGUGGUUCCACAAGCACUGCACGCAGUGCAGUGGACUCGAGGACUAAGCCCAAAGCACAGAGCCAGGAGUAAGCCCUGAGUACCACCAGGUGUGACCCCAAAACCAAACCAAUAUAUGUGUACGUGUGUGUUUGUGUGUGUGUGUGCGCACACGUGUGUGUGCGUGUGUGUGUGUGUGUGUGUGUGUGUGUGUGUGUGUGUGUGAGAUUCCUUGCUCUGUCUCAGGGUUUACAGAGUGGAUGGGCAAACUUUCUGGGCCCAAGGAGGAUCCAGGGACCUAGGUACCCAGGUCAAUCUGUUCAGGAUUCUGUGGUGGUCCUUAUCCAGACAGAAGCCUCCAUAACAGGCUGGGUGGUCUUUUUUUUCCUUUUUGGGUCACACCCGGCGAUGCUCAGGAGUUACUCCUGGCUCUACAUUCGGGAGUUACUCCUGGCGGUGCUGGGAGGACCAUAUGGGAUGCUGGGAAUGGAAGCCGGGUUGACCAUGUGCAAGGCAAACACCCUCAGGCUGGGUGGUCUUUGGAUCAGACCAUUUAGUUUUUCAGUGGGACAUGCUGGUUCCUGGGCCUGGCAUUCUCAGGUGGGGUCUGGCUGCCCACUAGUCUGCUCCCUGCUCUCCGGCACUUGCUGUCUGUCUCCAGAGGAGUUGAAGGAGCUGCCCACACCCACACGAAAAACUCCAUGUCUUUCAAACCCUCAGGUCGUUAGAGAAAGCGCACAGGUCUCGAAGUCCUGGCGAAUGCUAUUUUCUGAACAAGGAGCUGGAAAGGGCGGGGAGAACUUGUGCUCUGGGUCCAAGGUCAGGGAAGCAGCAUCUUCCAGCCCAACGGCCCUGGUCAGUUUCUUCUCCAGCAGGGAGCCAGGGCGGCUGGGGGAACCUAGCUAAGUACCUAGCACAGCAGCCGCGUGCAAAGAGGAGCUGUGACGCCCAGCGCCCCCGGCACCGCGGCAGCCAGGAGAGGAAGGCACUGUUUCAGGCCAGCAGCUUCCCAGCAGGACGGAGCCCGGCACCCCCGGGGCACCGUGCUGAGAACACACACUUAACCUGCUUCUUCCUCCCAUCUCUCUUCCCCACGGGCAUUUCCCCGAAUUCCCUGCCCCAGGCCCUCUCUGCUGUCUCGUCUGCUGCGGGGAGCUCUGCAGAGGAGCACCCCCCACUCCCCCCCCCCCCCGCCCCAAGAAGCACAGGGGGAGGCAGGACGUUAAUCUUCUUAGCGGCGGGGCCGGCCCCUCUGUGGUGGGCCCCAUCCUCCACAGGCUCCCUGGCUCCUUGCAGAGCCCAGCACCUAUUCCUCCAGGUUUUCCAGAACUUUAGGCUUUUCUGAAAUGUUGCUCCUCCUCUCUCCUACAAGUCUCAGUCCCUCCAUUUAGCUGUGUGGUACUCGGCAGGUUGCCACACCUCUCUGAUUCUGCACAUUCAUGUCUCCAUGCACUGGGAUCUGCUGCCCACUGGGGCAAAUGGAGAUGGUUUAACAGUAGGAUUGUAGCGGCCACAGCACCUGGCUGGGGACCCCGGGCCAGGGCUGUGGACUGUCCACAGUUCAUUUUGCUUUAGGACAUGUUGGAGGAUGGCCAGCUAUGCUUGAUGGGCGAGGAUGACAAGGCCUGGAGGCCACAGCCCCGCCCAACCCCAUGUGGGACAGUGCUGGCGCCUUGCCCCAAGCCUGUAUGUCUCCUCACCGAGCCCCGAUCCUCUGCCUGCCGCUGGCCACUUGCAUCUGGAACCUGCUUCAGAAACUCACCCUCAGGCCCCCGGGGCCCUGCCCGGAGCUUCCUGGCCACUCCAACAGAGAGUACUGGGCAGCCUCCAACACGCCGUAGAUACCCCAGCCAUCUGCCGCAAGGGGACGCCCAGUCCUUUGCCAUGAGCAACACAAACUCGGGGCUCCAGCAGGGGAGGUGGAAAUGCACUCAGGCUUGGUCGUUGCUCGCCCCAGGUCCUUUGCUCCCUCACCCAAUUCUGCCAGAACUACCUUAAUUAAACACCUGCACCCGAAUUCUUGCCUCAGCUUCUGCUUCUGGAAGAAUCUGACAAGACAAGCUGCCGGCACUGGAUGCCACGGAACUGGAGAGAUAGUUCAGCCAGCAGGGUGCUUGCUCUGCACGGAUUCCACCUGGGACAUCCCGUAUGGUCCCCCAGCCCCACCAGGGGUGGUCCCUGAGCGCAGAGCCGGGAGUAAGCCCCGGGCACAGUCAGGUGAAGCCCACCCUGCCCUACUUGCCAGUUCUUUCCAGUUCAUGUAUGACACACAGCAGCUGGAGAGGUGGUUACAGUGAAGGGAUGCUCUUGGCUCUGCACUCAGAAUUUACUCCUGGAAGCGCUCAGGGGACCAUAUGUGUUGCUGGGGAUCAAACCCAGGCUGGCUGUGUGCAAGAUAAGUGCCUUACCCACUGUACUAUAGCUCUGGCCCCCUGAUUAUUAUUCUUAGAGUUGUGAAAUACCAUGGUUGGUUUGAUGAUAGAACUUCCUUACGCGGAAUCCGGGACAAUAGUAAAUGUUUGUGGCAUAAUUUAAGUGAAGCCCAUGUAUAUCACUUUUAAAUCUCUCCCAAGAAAGUGAGAGGCAAUCAUCACUUUAAAUUGGAGUAUUAAAAUGUCCUUGGUCACCUUCUCCUGCACACCUUCUCCAGAUGGAGCCCUGGCGACACUGAGCAGCAACUAACACGGCUCCGGGAUUCGGGACUGGGACACAUCCGAGCCGCGGGGGGGCACUGGAGUGGGGUGGUGCCAGCUCAAACUCCAAGUGGUCCCGGCCGCUGGAAGUCACGCCCUCGACCCACCCUCGGUGCCAUCUUGCCACAACCAGCAGUGAAGCGGCCAGGCAUUCUGGUGAGCAACGCGGCCCGGAAAAUGCUCCGGACCCAAAUUGGGGCCAACAACACCCGGGAGCCGGAAGGUGGAGGUGCAGCCAGCACACCUUCUCCAGAUGGAGCCCUGGCGACACUGAGCAGCAACUAACACGGCUCCGGGAUUUGGGACUGGGACACAUCCGAGCUGCGCGACCUUUUCUAAAACCUGAAAACAUACAAUCUUUUAAUGGAAAACUAAUUAUCAAAUGCUUCCUUAGUAGGGUUUUCUUGUUUGGGGGUAUAACUCCCACAACAAUUGUGAAUUUUGUGUUGAAAUAUGGGACAUAAUCAAGGUGAAGAGAAAAUGAA